UCCUACGGGAGGCAGCAGUGGGGAAUAUUGGACAAUGGGUCCAGCCAUGCCGCGUGUGUGAAGAAGGCCUUCGGGUUGUAAAGCACUUUUGUUGGGGAAGGUUGAAUGACGGUACCCAAAGAAUAAGCACCGGCUAACUUCGUGCCAGCAGCCGCGGUAAUACGAAGGGUGCAAGCGUUACUCGGAAUUACUGGGCGUAAAGCGUGCGUAGGCGGUUUGUUAAGUCUGCUGUGAAAGCCCUGGGCUCAACCUGGGAAGCUAGAGUGUGUCAGAGGAUGGUGGAAUUCCCGGUGUAGCCGUAGAGAUCGGGAGGAACACCAGUGGCGAAGGCGGCCAUCUGGGACAACACUGACGCUGAGGCACGAAAGCGUGGGGAGCAAACAGGAUUAGAUACCCUGGUAGUCCACGCCCUAAACGAUGCGAACUGGACGUUGGGCACACUUAGGUGCUCAGUGUCGAAGCUAACGCGUUAAGUUCGCCGCCUGGGGAGUACGGUCGCAAGACUGAAACUCAAAGGAAUUGACGG
rnacentral:rRNA from 1 species